AGGAUAAUAGUUUAAAAAAACAUUUAAGUUGCAUUUAAAAAUUAUUGAACUCCAAUUUAUCUUU
rnacentral:tRNA from 1 species